CGCAAGCCCGCCCUGCAGUGCGCAUGCGCAGGGGAAAUCCAUCUCUGUUUUGUGCUGCUCUCUCGCCUUUCAGGACUUUCUCUCCAGAACUCAAGUCCUCACUUUCUUACUGAUGUGUUAUUCUUAGACUUAGCAGUACCAGUUGCAAGGUGGGUGAGGAGGUACUAACUGCAAAACCAAAAAAUAAAAAUAAAAUAAAAACUUGCAAAGAUCAAAAAAGAGGGGGAAAGCUUCCCAAAAUGUCCCUCUUCUUUCCUGGAAACUUUCAGGGAGCUCCAAAAAGAGGGAAGCCAGCAGGGGGACCCAACGCCAGCGGUGGACUCCAGGAGAUGCACUGCAGGAAUGGUUAAAUAAGAACAGAUGUUGGCUUUGCAGGCUGUACCUACAGACCAGCCUUGGCUGCAAAGCUUUGUAGGCAACUCACACCAAUUCUGACUCCAAAUCUGGAAAAUUCAAAUGGACUUCAAUUUAAUGGCACUCUUAUAACUUGUUCCUGACACAUUUACUUGGGAUGACUCUCUUUGUUCAGUGGGAUCUACAUGGCGAAACAUGCCGGCAUCCCCUUCAGUCUUUUUGGAGAGAUUACAGUCUGUUAACAGGAAGACCCUUUAGUAUGGAUUUGAGUCAGCAUACUUCCAAGAACUGCUUUCAAGGGCUGAAGAUAAUGAUAGCUUGAAAUAGCAUCUUCCUCUGAUCCAUGGGUUCUUCUCUGAGAGUCGAUCAAAGUGGGGAAGACAGAUGAGCAAACUCAACAACUUUUCUUCUGUACAGACACA